UACGUAAGGGGCUAGCGUUGUCCGGAAUCAUUGGGCGUAAAGCGCGUGUAGGCGGUUCGGUAAGUCCGCUGUGAAAGUCGGGGGCUCAACCCUCGGAUGCCGGUGGAUACUGUCGAGCUUGAGUACGGAAGAGGCGAGUGGAAUUCCUGGUGUAGCGGUGAAAUGCGCAGAUAUCAGGAGGAACACCAAUUGCGAAGGCAGCUCGCUGGGACGUUACUGACGCUGAGACGCGAAAGCGUGGGGAGCAAACAGG
rnacentral:rRNA from 1 species